GCUCCAUCUAGUUGUAGGUUAUAGACUUUCAAUUUGCCACUUUCAGUCCCCGAACUUAUCUUUCUAAUCUUAUUACAAUACAAACUAUCUAUUAACUAUUUACCGAACAACCCUCGAACUUAAGGAUGUGUAGGGAUUAUAACUUUCAGGAAUCGAACCGAGUGUUUAAAGGAAAGGGUUAUUUGUUACUGCCACUGCUGCAAGGUUACUAAGCCAAUCCACGAUUAAGAACUCAACUUGACAAGAUAUUAGACGUACACGUACUAACCCGAGUCAACAAGAAGCUCCUUAGAACAACACUUCAAGACCAGAGCACCUAAUUUGUCCAAGCAACAAUAUGGGAGGAUGUUGCGACUUCCUACAACAAAGGGUGGCCCUGCUGAGAUGUUCACCUGUGCACUUCACUAGGGCUACACGCGUGUGACAUAAAUACACGUUAACCCAGAUUUGAAGAAAUAGAAAAAAUACAUGCAUAUCGACAAGAGGGCAUGAAUACACGUUUGCUGACAUGCACAACGAAAGUAAAAAAGAAACAAUAGCCUCUGUUCGUAACCGUUGAGUUUGGGAUUUCAGGUAUCCGUUAGGCGUCCCAUGGAUCAGAUAUCAUGGUUAUUACGAAGAUCUACACAUAAAUGUCAUAUAUCCGGGAAAGGACUGUGACUUAGUGUCCAUGGUGAAUUUAAGAGCAUCAUUGUCCAUCAAGUGGGCCUGCCCUGAACCUUGAGAAGAAAACGGGGCAUGUCCUGAACUUUGAGAAGAACUGGGUCUAUUAUUACUGUUGAGGUACAGAAUGGAGGGGCAGCCCAGCAGGGUGGAUUGGGCCAACCAGGUUGAGGAUACAAAAAAAAUGUUGAAUCUGCGCCAUCAUCAUUCAGUGAUUGCAAAUAAAUUAGAUUGCGUGAAAUAAUAAAUCUUGCAAAAUCCGGCAAAAAAUCAUGUUUUUUGAUUCUGUAAUUUUCUUUUUGAGAAGCUGACAUGUCACCUUAUUUUUUGAUAC